rnacentral:tRNA from 1 species
GAGGGCAUAGCUCAGUGGUAGAGUGCGUAGCUAGCAUGCACAGGGAUCUGGGUUCAACUCCCAGUACCUCCA